rnacentral:rRNA from 1 species
GACGAACGCUGGCGGCGUGCUUAACACAUGCAAGUCGAACGGUAAGGCCCUUUCGGGGGUACACGAGUGGCGAACGGGUGAGUAACACGUGAGUAACCUGCCCCAUACUCUGGGAUAACAGUUGGAAACAGCUGCUAAUACCGGAUAUGAGCCCCUUUCGCAUGUUGGGGGUUGGAAAGUGUUUGCGGUUUGGGAUGGACUCGCGGCCUAUCAGCUUGUUGGUGAGGUAGUGGCUCACCAAGGCUUCGACGGGUAGCCGGCCUGAGAGGGCGACCGGCCACAUUGGGACUGAGAUACGGCCCAAACUCCUACGGGAGGCAGCAGUGGGGAAUAUUGCACAAUGGGCGGAAGCCUGAUGCAGCAACGCCGCGUGCGGGAUGACGGCCUUCGGGUUGUAAACCGCUUUCAUCCAUGACGAAGCUU